rnacentral:rRNA from 1 species
UACGGAGGGUGCGAGCGUUGUCCGUGAAUCACUGGGCGUAAAGGGCGCGUAGGCGGCUUGGGAAGUCCGUGGUGAAAGCUCGUGGCUCAACUGCGAGUCGGCCAUGGAUACUCCUAAGCUCGAGCACUGUAGAGGCAGGUGGAAUUCCGGGUGUAGCGGUGGAAUGCGUAGAUAUCUGGAGGAACACCGGUGGCGAAGGCGGCGUUCUGGACUGCAACUGACACUGAGAGACGAAAGCCAGGGGAGCAAACGGG